GACGAACGCUGGCGGCGUGCUUAACACAUGCAAGUCGAACGGAAAGGCCCUGCUUUUGUGGGGUGCUCGAGUGGCGCACGGGUGAGUAACACGUGAGUAACCUGCCCUUGACUUUGGGAUAACUUCAGGAAACUGGGGCUCAUACCGGAUAGGAGCUCCUGCUGCAUGGUGGGGGUUGGAAAGUUUCGGCGGUUGGGGAUGGACUCGCGGCUUAUCAGCUUGUUGGUGGGGUAGUGGCUUACCAAGGCUUUGACGGGUAGCCGGCCUGAGAGGGUGACCGGCGACAUUGGGACUGCGAGAGGGCCCAGUCGCGUACGGGAGGCAGAAGUGGGGAAUAUUGCACAAUGGGCGGAAGCCAGUGGCAGAAACGCCGCGUGCGGGAUGACGGCCUUCGGGUGGUAAACCGAUUUCGACGGUGACGAAGCGUGAUUGACGGUAAUGGGUAAAGAAGCACCGGCUAACUACGUG
rnacentral:rRNA from 1 species